GCAACAACAUGAUGUCCCAGAGGCCACUGGGGUCGUACCGCAGCUCACAGCCAGGUCACGGGGAGUACUCCUAUCAACAGACCUCAUACGGAGAGCAAUACGAGCGGAGUUUUGAUGAAUCCUCACAACAUUAUUAUGAAGGUAACUCUCAGUACAGUCAGACACAGGGUCAGUAUCAGCAGGGCUCGGGUCAGCAGGCCUUCGGACAGCAGCAGUACUCCUCCCAACCAGGCUACGGCGCUCCACCUCAAGGAUACGGUCCAGGCCAGGGCAGUUCUUCUCAGUAUCCUCAUUAUCAACAGGGUCAGGGUCAGUACGGGUCAUACCGCUCGUCCCAGGGCGGCGGACAGGCCCAGCGACCAUACUCCUACGAACAGGGUCAGUACGGAAACUAUCAGCAAUAAAACCUGCUGCUGAAACGUGAGACUGUGUCGACCUGAACUGUGGAAACGUCAGCUCAUGUACAAGUACUAUAGUAGUUUUUGAUAUUUUUUACAUUUAAACUUGAGUUAGUUUAGUCUUCUGUUUGGA
ensembl:lncRNA